GCGUGAGUGAUGAAGGCCCUAGGGUUGUAAAGCUCUUUCGACGGGGACGAUAAUGACGGUACCCGCAGAAUAAGCCCCGGCUAACUUCGUGCCAGCAGCCGCGGUAAUACGAAGGGGGCUAGCGUUGCUCGGAAUCACUGGGCGUAAAGCGCACGUAGGCGGGCUUUUAAGUCGGAGGUGAAAUCCCAGGGCUCAACCCUGGAACUGCCUUCGAUACUGAAAGUCUUGAGUCCGGAAGAGGUAAGUGGAACUCCGAGUGUAGAGGUGAAAUUCGU
rnacentral:rRNA from 1 species